CCCGUCUUCCCUCCCCAUCCUCUCUCACCCCCCUGUGUCCCAAACUAUGGCACAAUAGCGUUCAGCUCCUCUGUCUAUUCUGUGUCCAGCAGGAGCCCGCAGUGAUUCAUUGCUCCAAUUAGGGGCUCUGCAGCCCGUGGCUCGGGCUGUCUGAAGGGUCUCCUUUGGGACCCACGAAACCCAUCAGCCGCUGCCGCUGAUCUUUAAGGAAAGGUCAAGCCGGACGCAUUAGAGCCAGCUAGUUUCUCCCAGGUCUAUCCUGCACACUGAAUAGCCAGGGCUGGCUCCAGACCUGGAUCCAAAGACCCAGACCCCAUUCUGCCAGCUGUGUAUACCUCAGAAAGAGGCAGACCUCUUAACUCUACAAACCUCAGUCUCCUGCUAUAUGCAAUGGGCACAUGCUCCCUUCACGGACUGGGAGAAGCAGAACCUAGGCAAAGCUGACAGGCCAAGCUCUCCAGAGACCAAUGCAAGAGGAUCUCAAUGUCAAGGCCAGUCUGGGCUACACGGUGAGACCCUGUCUCAAAGGAAAAGAGCUGAGGGACCCAUGCAAUGCCCCCCAAUGUGGAGUGCAGCAGUAGAGGUGUCUCUGCAUGCUGAGUAAGUGCUGAACACAAGCCUGGGCCUUGCAGGGGCCAGCUCCAGAAUCUCCACAGAGCCCAUGGCUGUGUCAUUGAGCCCCAGCUUUUAGAUGAGUAGACUGGGUUCAGAGUAAGGAGAAACCAGCCCAUAGGAACAGCAGAUUGAGUGGGAACACACACACACACACACACACACACACACACACACACACUCCAUAUAAAGCUGAUAGGAAUGAUUCACCCUAAGAUCAGCAUGGACCAGAGAUAGUCUCAGAAUCUCCUCUCUCUUCUUUCAUGCGUCCCCAACUAUGCAUCUAAUGAAAGCAAAGCUCUCAAAUGUUGGGGGAUGUCCUUCUGUAUAUACAAUUCUCUUAUUGGUUGAUGAAUAAAACACUGUUUGGCCAAUAGAGGCAGGAAGAUAGGCAGGACUAGGAAAUGAAGAGAAUUCUAGGAAAGGUAGGCAGAGAGACCACAAGAAGACGCCAUGUAGCCACUAAAGGAAAUAGAGGUCCGGGCAUUCUCUGGUAAGCCAAGACCACAUGGAAAUACUUAGAUUAAUAGAAAAGGGUUAAUAAUAAAGACAGAGCUAGCCAAUAAGAAGCUCUAGCCAUCAACCAACAGUUUUAUAAUUAAUAUAGCAUCUCUGUGUGUUCAUUUGGGGCUGAAGCAGUGGGAUCUGGCAGGACAAGAAAACUCCAGCAACACUCACAGGCUCUGGCCUGGACACAAAGCCAGCUGUGUGGUGCCAGAUGCUUGAACACCAAGAUCCCUUAGUAUCUACUUCAUGUUGCAAAGCCAUCCCAGCCCCCAGCCUGGCCAUUCACAUGUUUGAAGCUCAAACUGGAUUGAGCCAUCCAUUUACACAUGCCUGCCAAGAGUCACAGCAUCUAGACUCAGAGUACCGAGCAGAGUCAUCCUCCUGCCUGCGGCUGUGGAGGGGCCAUGUUCCUUCCAUACCCAUCACUAUUUAAGGCAUGGGCAACACUGCAGCUCCCAGCAACCCUGGCUCAGGGCAGGGACGGCACAGCCCACAGGUUCUGUGGAGACAUGCAGGGCAUCUGGGCAUGGCUCACAUUUUUGCUGCCUGUGGGGCAUCCCCAGCCUUCCCCUAGUUGUCUUCAGCUCUCAGCACCAAACAUACUGUGUCUGUUUCUGGCUGUGUCUCCCCAGGGGCUGACCCCCAACUAGCCUGCCUUGUACUGCCCUAGGUUCAAGGGCUCAAUCAAUGUUGGGACCAGGGACACAGAACUCCAAACCUCACGUGCCUUCUGUUCUAGAAUUAUCAGGCCAUCUGGCAGGAUGGUACCUUCUGUAAUCCCAGCACCCUGGAGAUGGAUGGGAAGUUCAAGGCCAGCCUGGGCUAUAGAGUAAAAUCCUUUCUCAAAAAAUAAAACCUUGGCUGGAGGCAGGCAAGAUCAAAAUGCAUUUUA